rnacentral:SRP_RNA from 1 species
GUCGAGUUUAGUAACGCAAGCUUGUGAUCCGAGUGGAGACAACAAGGUGAUGGGAUAUUGUCCAGAUUUGCCCGGUACUGGUUAGGUGAGGUCGAGUUACUGGUCCCAAGUGGAGUUCGGCGCUCGGAUCAGCUUAGGCUAGUAGUUCCGUUAGUCUCCUAGAGCGGAAAGAAUAUUGGACCAGUGACUUCUGAACCACCAACUAGACCGCUGGUAAGCCGGUUCCAAUGGACCAUCGCUUUU